rnacentral:rRNA from 1 species
UUUGCCGUUCGCGGUGAUUGCGUUGGAUCUUGCUUCUUUAUAAUCAUAAACGACUCUCGGCAACGGAUAUCUCGGCUCACGCAUCGAUGAAGAACGUAGCAAAAUGCGAUACUUGGUGUGAAUUGCAGAAUCCCGUGAACCAUCGAGUUUUUGAACGCAAGUUG